UGUUUGCUUGUAAACAAGAGAAGUUGACGGGUCAUAUUUAGAGGAUCUAUUACACUCGUAUGGAGUAACAAAUACCACUAUAU